UAGGGAAUCUUCGGCAAUGGACGAAAGUCUGACCGAGCAACGCCGCGUGAGUGAAGAAGGUUUUCGGAUCGUAAAACUCUGUUGUUAGAGAAGAACAAGGAUGAGAGUAGAAUGUUCAUCCCUUGACGGUAUCUAACCAGAAAGCCACGGCUAACUACGUGCCAGCAGCCGCGGUAAUACGUAGGUGGCAAGCGUUGUCCGGAUUUAUUGGGCGUAAAGCGAGCGCAGGCGGUUUCUUAAGUCUGAUGUGAAAGCCCCCGGCUCAACCGGGGAGGGUCAUUGGAAACUGGGAAACUUGAGUGCAGAAGAGGGGGGUGGAAUUCCAUGUGUAGCGGUGAAAUGCGUAGAUAUAGGGAGGAACACCAGUGGCGAAGGCGGCUCUCUGGUCUGUAACUGACGCUGAGGCUCGAAAGCGUGGGGAGCAAACAGG
rnacentral:rRNA from 1 species